rnacentral:rRNA from 1 species
GAUGAACGCUGGCGGCGUGCCUAAUACAUGCAAGUCGAGCGAACGGACGAGAAGCUUGCUUCUCUGAUGUUAGCGGCGGACGGGUGAGUAACACGUGGAUAACCUACCUAUAAGACUGGGAUAACUUCGGGAAACCGGAGCUAAUACCGGAUAAUAUUUUGAACCGCAUGGUUCAAAAGUGAAAGACGGUCUUGCUGUCACUUAUAGAUGGAUCCGCGCUGCAUUAGCUAGUUGGUAAGGUAACGGCUUACCAAGGCAACGAUGCAUAGCCGACCUGAGAGGGUGAUCGGCCACACUGGAACUGAGACACGGUCCAGACUCCUACGGGAGGCAGCAGUAGGGAAUCUUCCGCAAUGGGCGAAAGCCUGACGGAGCAACGCCGCGUGAGUGAUGAAGGUCUUCGGAUCGUAAAACUCUGUUAUUGGGGAAGAACAUAUGUGUAAGUAACUGUGCACAUCUGGACGGUACCUAAUCAGAAAGCCACGGCUAACUACGU